CAACUGUUCAUAACAAAACUUAGCUUACACUCUUCGUCUUAGUACAUUGAUAGAAAAUAAAUGUCAACCUUGCAGAUCUAGUGUUACCAAGUAUAUAGAGCUGGGGAGAAGGUCGCUAGCUAAAACCAGUAAAGUUUGCUGCAAGUCGAGCCCAUAGCGAUAACCAUGACGGUAAGUAGUCGGAAAUGGAAGAAGUUCCCUUAAUAAGCCUAUUCCAGGAAGUGGGAGCAUCUUGCAAUAUAAACCUCAGGUAACACUAUUGUUUAUAGGAGGGGGCUAGGUGGUUAUUUAGAUAUACUUACCUUUUUUUAAACCAAAUUUCCUAAAAUUGAAACUACGUAAUGUCGGUUAGAUUUGUGUUAACGUCCGUAACACGGGCGGCAAACAAACUGUAAAACAGAUGGUGGAACAUUUCAAAGCCAGAAUACUGUUUGCUGUGUUUAUACAUUGUUUGGUUAUCGAAAUGAUGUGCCAAAAACCACGUACUGCUCUGUAUAUAAAGAAAUCAUUAUAUUUCAUGGACACGUUGAGACAGACCCACUAAUAUCUGGUGACUGUG